rnacentral:rRNA from 1 species
GCUAAUACAUGCAAGUCGAGCGCGGGAAGCGGACAGAACUCUUCGGAGGGACGUUCGUGGAACGAGCGGCGGACGGGUGAGUAACACGUAGGCAACCUGCCUGUAAGACUGGGAUAACUCGCGGAAACGCGAGCUAAUACCGGAUAAUACUUAUGAUCUCCUGAUGAUAAGUUGAAAGGCGGCUUUUGCUGUCACUUACAGAUGGGCCUGCGGCGCAUUAGCUAGUUGGUGAGGUAACGGCUCACCAAGGCGACGAUGCGUAGCCGACCUGAGAGGGUGAUCGGCCACACUGGGACUGAGACACGGCCCAGACUCCUACGGGAGGCAGCAGUAGGGAAUCUUCCGCAAUGGACGAAAGUCUGACGGAGCAACGCCGCGUGAGUGAUGAAGGUUUUCGGAUCGUAAAACUCUGUUGUCGGGGAAGAACAAGUAUGAUAGUAACUGAUCGUACCUUGACGGUACCCGACCAGAAAGCCACGGCUAACUACGUGCCAGCAGCCGCGGUAAUACGUAGGUGGCAAGCGUUGUCCGGAAUUAUUGGGCGUAAAGCGCUCGCAGGCGGUUCUUUAAGUCUGAUGUGAAAUCUUGCGGCUCAACCGUAAACGUGCAUUGGAAACUGGAGGACUUGAGUGCAGAAGAGGAGAGUGGAAUUCCACGUGUAGCGGUGAAAUGCGUAGAGAUGUGGAGGAACACCAGUGGCGAAGGCGACUCUCUGGUCUGUAACUGACGCUGAGGAGCGAAAGCGUGGGGAGCGAACAGGAUUAGAUACCCUGGUAGUCCACGCCGUAAACGAUGAGUGCUAGGUGUUAGGGGGUUUCCGCCCCUUAGUGCUGAAGUUAACGCAUUAAGCACUCCGCCUGGGGAGUACGGCCGCAAGGCUGAAACUCAAAAGAAUUGACGGGGACCCGCACAAGCGGUGGAGCAUGUGGUUUAAUU